GCGAGGACUUGUUCUCCUUCGCUCUCUAAGCCUUCAUUUCCUUGUGGAGGAUGCCUGAGUGUCUGUUCACUGAAGUCUGGGCUACACUGUCGGCCUUCGCGUUAGCUAGGUAGCCUGUUACAGGGCACAGGAGGCGAACGGAGUUCAGCCGAGGCGAACAGACCUGUGUCAUGCGUAGUUUCUGUGUGAAAUCAUCUUCGUAAUACGGCGGAGGAAGGAUGUGGCGUGGUGCAUCGGGCAAAUCAUGAAAGGUGCUUCAUAAAUACCUUAGCCAAGGUAUGAAUUCAGAACGUUAAUAAAGCUCUGUUGAUGGUGGGCAUGGCUUGUGAGAAUGGAUGGAUGCCCCUCUGUUACAGUAUUUGGAGUUUCUACACUCUAUCGUACCUCUGCAUCCGGGACAACAACACAGUGUGGUAACGAGUUCAAACAGGUGCAGUUAAUACAGGUAUUGAGUGGAGAACAGGAGGGCUUCUUAAAGAAAAACUAACAGAUUCCGUCUCUCACAGUUGAAGAGUACCUAUGAUAAAAAUUACGGACCUCUACAUGCUUUUCGUUUGGCCGUUGGCACCGGAUACCCGGCAGUAUAUCACCGUCCGGGGUCCAAUCUGGAGCGCCGUCCGCCUCUGUCUCCAUGCCGAAAAUUUAUGGUUAACAACAGUUGGGGCAAACACACCUUGCACGUGGGCAAUUUCCUCUCCACACCAACUCCUCUGCGAGUCAUGGGGGAAAGAACAGGACUAACAGAUCAUCACCUGAUUUCCAUCAUAGAAUGCAAUGCAAUUUGCCUCAUUAGCAUGGGUUAACGGAGUGGCCCUGCCGGUCGAGGACUGUCAGUCUCGUCCCUCUACAAGACGCGCAAUCCUGAAUUCCUGACCGUACACAGCGGAAUCCUCUUUCAAUGGAAAGCGACAGGGUUGAAAUGUCAUCCGCAAAUUCUUCCAACAUGAAAUAAUUUGCGUACUAAUCGAAUUUGAGACAUUCUUGGGUGAUUUUUUUUCUUCAAGUGCCACUACAAAACCCCUCUUUCAGUGCUCCCACUGGGCCGGAUAGUUGCACUCGGCCACACUACGGCCAAAUCAGAAUCACACGCCAUAUCAUUCCACACAUUCCAUAGUGGAAGAAAGGGAUCUAUAGCCCUCACUGUUCUUUCAUUUCAGGAUGUUUAACUCCACAUAAAAAGAAACAUCCUUCCUACAGCAUAAAGGAACAGUGUAAGGAAUGAUCUAUUAAUGCAGCUCAUCUGAUUUGUUACAUACAAAACCACAAUUGGGGUCUCAGAGAAUGGACAGAAAAUAUAAAAUGAAGCAUUUUCUUUAUGGUACCAUAUUGACAUUGGGUCUUUAACCCUGCUCACAAAAAAUGUGUUGCUCCUACAGACAGUGAUUAAUGGACAUUGUUACAGACAAGCGUUGAGACAUUGUUUGAUUGAACGUUGGAAUGGGAGGUAUUUGUGUCAUCAGCGACUAAGUGUUGCCGGAUCAUCUGUGCCAGGCGUUCCAAUCAGUGUUUUAGAAAAUGCAACCAUUGGGCCUUUCAUUAAUGUCAGCAUCGAGGGUUUAGACACUGUGGUGAAACGUAACGUCGGGACCAUGAACAGCCAAAUUACGGGCAAAGUACGACAGCGGUGAGCAAGACAAACGUCUCAGCGGUCUUUCACACAUUGGGGUCCACUCCUCUCAGAUAAAAAGAGGCUCCAGUGGUUGUCAGUCCAACACAAGACAACUGAGGAAUGGAAAUACAUUGCCUGGUCCAACCAAUCCUGGUUCAGUUUUGUUGCCUUGGCUGAACCCCAUAAGACGAGCCAAUAGCGCAUCUCUGAGAUGGAACCAGCUGUUCACACCAAUGUUUCCAAUCUGCAGCAUCUGUGGGAAGAUCAUCACCUGAGUGUUGACCAACAGCACUGUGGAACACGUCCGGCGCCUUUUUUCAGAGAAUAUACCCUUCUGGAGGCAAGGAGAUCCAACCCGCUAGUAUUUGGGUGGUCAAUGAGUGUUUCUUGUCUUGUUUGAAAAUGUUUUAAAACCUCCACCGAAAGUUGCGUAAACAUUAUACCCUGCCAGGUACCACAACCUAAUAUUAGCCCACCCAUUUAUAGAUAUACAUUCAAAUUAACCUAAACCAGUUCAGUAUAUAGACACAAUAAUGAUUUUGAUUUCACUGAUAAAUAUGAGUGUGUGUGAAUCUGGGGGUGGCAGGGUAACGUAGGGGUCAAGAGCCUUGGUAAACAAAAGGUCACUGGUUUUAACCCUAUAGUCAACCAUGUGAGAAACAAUGUAGUUUUGACCCGAGAAAGACAGUUGACCCUAAUUGCUCCCAGGUUGUUGCGGUCAAUAAAAGUCAGUUUUUAGAAUACUUCCCUAAAAUAAUGGUUAACCUAAUGAAACAUCAACAAGAAAAUAGUCUGCCCUAAAAAAAACGUAUACAUACACACUUUAAUAAAGAUACGAAACAUUGUGCCAUUUGGAAAUUCUACACUUUAUUUUGGAAUGCUCAGGUUAAACUUCGCAUAGAAUAACUCCUGGUGCUACAUUUCUGUGCUAACACACACAGACAGACAAUCAACUGUGCAAAAACUCCCCCAUAAUCAACUGAAAGAGCUAAGAGGAUAUUUUCCAGCAUUUUCAGAUGAUGUUGCAUGUAAUUUGUGCACACCAUUAUAAAAUAGAUUUUUUUCUCAGAAUAUGCCAUUACAUUCAUGACAUUGCAUAUUUGAGGUCCAGGACUGCAUUGUAGCAUUGACUACAAACGUUGACAUAAUACGGUUUACAUGCUAACACUAGCCCUGAAGUGCCUCAUAGAUACGUUAGCUUUUCGCUGACUAUAAAAAGGAGUUGAUUUCCAGCCGAACCCAAUUUGGCAUCACAGCAGAUAAAAAAAUUAUAAUCUAUGAUAGUAACACAUACACAAAGACGCACACACAAACACACACACUCUUUAGAAUAUUUGUGCAGACUGUUGUUUUAGGAUCACAAAUAAUUUCUAUUAAAAUAUCCAUCUUUUCUAACCUCUAACCCCUAAAACUCCAUUAUAACACUAACCUUAACCCUAAGCCUAAAAAACCAACUUACGUAACGGAGAAUGUCCUCACAAGUCAUGAUUUGCCAGUAUUGCAAGUAUUGUAGUGUGCGCGCACACACACACACACAACUAAUUCAUCCUAAGUGCAUUAGCCAUGUUACCUAUCCCAUUGACCUACAAAUUACCAAGACAGUAUCUGUGAGUCUGUCUGGCAUGUCGGAACAUUCUGCAAAUUUAAUCGGCAGAAAUGUAAAAUAUAAAUGGAAAGCUGUCUUUAGCAUAGACAUAAUGCAUAGAGAUUCAGUUCAUUUGCAUGCGUUGUGUCAUCAAAGGCCUCAAGAAAAUUUAUUCUCAAAGGGUUUACCGUUAUUAACUCUAACAUAUAGAUCAGAAUCAACACAUAAGUUACAAAACAAUCAGACCUAUCAACAAAAGUGCUACCGUGGCCAUUGAAGAUUAUUGUAAAUUUGGACUUUUAUGACAUGAGCCAGCCAGGCGGUGGAGGGAUUCAUCCAUGAAAUACUGCAAGACAUAUUUCCAGUGGCCUCAACAGUUCCAGAUUUCUCUCUCUCUCAUACAGUUCGUUACCGCUUACUGCCUCACGUAAGACUUUGAAAUGCAAAGUCAUUCUGGGACUGUCUGCCUGACCCAGAGGUUUGUUGUGGGGGUGCCGGGGGAGCGGCGAGUCCCCUGUGUGACGACCGUCAGUGGCACCGGUUGUCCCUCAGGUCGGUGGAGGCCCAUUGACAUAGCGCAGGGCCAAGUGGAAGGAGCGGGCCAGGGAGUUGGCGUGACGGCAUUCUGGCUCAGUGAGCAUGGCGGGCCACACCAGCAGAACCAAAACCACAGCCAGGAGGGCGACCAGGAACACUGGGUCUCGCAGGGUCUCCACCGUCCACCAGGUGCCUGAGGACCAUGGCCUGCACAGAGCUUGUCGGCUGGGGAAGCCUUCCAGCCUGGCAGAGGAGUGGGAGAGGUGCAGGAGGAGCGUGUAAGAAUUACCAAGGCUCAGCAUCACUGAAGUCGGGGGUUGUUGGCUUCGACCUUGGCGUGCACUGCGUCUUUGAUUUCAAUCAAUCGCGCAGAGGGGUGAGAUUUGCUAGUGCCAUCUAAUUGAUAUUGACUGGAAUAUCUACUGCCACAGCAGGUACUCAAAGUGUUGUCCAGACAAAAGUUAUAAGCCCAUUUGACAUGAAGACUGUUCUGGUUAAAAUGUUGUAUUCAUUUUUAACAUGAAGAAACUGUUAGAAAACAGUUACG
ensembl:lncRNA